rnacentral:rRNA from 1 species
AAACCAGCACCUCAAGUGGUCAGGAGGAUUAUUGGGCCUAAAGCAUCCGUAGCCUGUUCUAUAAGUUUCCGGUUAAAUCCAUUAGCUCAACUAAUGGGCCGCCGAAAAUACUGUAGAACUAGGGAGUGGGAGAGGUAGACGGUAUUCGGUAGGAAGGGGUAAAAUCCUUUGAUCUAUUGAGGACCACCUGUGGCGAAGGCGGUCUACCAGAACACGUUCGACGGUGAGGGAUGAAAGCUGGGGGAGCAAACCGGAUUAGGAACCCGAGUAGUCC